UGACGGUACCUGACUAAGAAGCCCCGGCUAACUACGUGCCAGCAGCCGCGGUAAUACGUAGGGGGCAAGCGUUAUCCGGAUUUACUGGGUGUAAAGGGAGCGUAGACGGCAAAGCAAGUCUGAAGUGAAAUCCCGGGGCUCAACCCUGGAACUGCUUUGGAAACUGUUUAGCUAGAGUGCAGGAGAGGUAAGUGGAAUCCCUAGUGUAGCGGUGAAAUGCGUAGAUAUUAGGAGGAACACCAGUGGCGAAGGCGGCUUACUGGACUGUAACUGACGUUGAGGCUCGAAAGCGUGGGGAGCAAACAGGAUUAGAUACCCUG
rnacentral:rRNA from 1 species